rnacentral:tRNA from 1 species
GCCUGGGUGGCUCAGUCGGUUGAGCGCCCAAUUUCAGCUCAGGUCAUGAUCUCACGGUUUGUGGGUUCGAGCCCCACUUCGGACU